GGGGGGGGGGGAAAAGGAGUGAACGAGUGCCCUAGCCGCCUGCUGGGAGGGGAUGGCGCAGCACCAACUGAUGGGUACCCCCCUUUUGUCCCCACUCCCUGCACCCCUCUUCCCACUCCAGCUCAGGAGGCCGCCUCUCCCAGAGGAUGAAGAACCUCAGGAGCGGUGCGGGGGCGAGACUGAGGAGCCUGAACGAUAAUUCCACUAUGCAUAUAAAAGUAUGGUUAUGAUAAUAUAUAUCUUGAGGAACUUUGUCUUAUGUUAUCCAGGUGCUGUUCCAUGAGAUUGAAGGAAUAAAUCACAGCGUGGAAGGCAAUGGCAGCUUGGAGUGAUCAGUGACAGACAGUAGAGGUCAUUGAAUGCUUGGACUUCAGCUUUUUUUUUUUUUCCUGUUUAUUCUUUCUAGAAUCUCAGCCCAUAGAAAUGAGGUCUUAGGAUAGGUUUUACCACCUCCAUUAACUCAACCUAGAAACUUUCUUGAACAUACUUAGAAUGUAUUUCAUUAUUGAACUUAUAUUGCAGCAAGUUGAUACUCGUGAUUAAGAGUAACUACCUCACUUAUCUCCCUCAGUGAAAUGAGGAUAUUCUAGUAUUGAGUAUUAAAUCAGGCUUUGCUAUUCACAGUGUGGGCACGCUGCGUAGUGUUCCUCCUUCCCUUUCUCAAGCCCUGAAUUCAGUGCUGAUACAAAACUUUCUACUUACCUCAGGAUUAUGUUCUUGAUAAGACACAUUUCUAAGCAUAGUGGGUACAAAUAACUAAAUUGUCCUCAGACAUUAGCCAUUUAUUUAAAUUUUACUUUCUUGGACCAUGCAUUAUGUAUAUGAUUCUGAAGUGAAUCAAUAUGUUGAUUAGUCUUCAGUUCAUCAUAAAAAAUAAUGUUACUCAAAGCUUUUCAUAACACUUCAGCAAUAUAAAUAAAUUAAAACCCACACACCUUCUAUAAAUUAUAAAAGAUUCUCCAAAAGAUGACCAUGAAGUUGUAAUAGUAUUUGAAAAAAAAGCAACAAUAAGAAAGCACAAAUAAAAUGACAGCAUAUGAAACCAAAAAGUCAUAACAGAGUUAUUAAGUGACAUAGGCUUUCAAGCAUCACAUGCCUGUGAAUUAUUAAAAUUGCUACUUUCUUUACAGGUAAAAUAGAAUGAAGAAAUAUCUGUAAAAGCUACAAGAUAAAGUAUGUAGUGCUUUGAAUUAUCUCUUAGUCAGGUCCCCAGAUUUUUUUUUUUAUUCUUCAAGGUAACAUAUUUAUUAUUAACACCAAGAAUACAAAGUAGACUUUUAAAGAAUGAGAAAGAGAGGCUUCAGUUCCAGCAGACAAAGUGGGCUACCUAUUCUUUUAUUAUUAUUAUUGGCUAUUUAUUUCUUUUACAUUUCCAAUGCUAUCCCAAAAGUUCCCCACACGCUCCCCCAUCCACUCCCCCACCCACCCACUCCCACUUCUUGGCCCUGGCAUUCCCCUGUGCUGAGGCAUAUAAAGUUUGCAAGACCAAUGGGCCUCUCUUUCCACUAAUGGCUGACUAGGCCAUCUUUUGAUACAUAAGCAGCUAGAGACAAGAGCUCCGGGGUACUGGGUAGUUCAUAUUGUUGUUCCACCUAUAGGAUUGCAUAUCCCUUCAGCUCCUUGGGUACUUUCUCUAGCUCCUCCAUUGGGGGCCCUGUGACCCAUCCAAUAGCUGACUGUGAGCAUCCAUUUCUGUGUUUGCCAGGCCCUGGUAUAGUCUCACAAGAGAUAGCCAUAUCUGGGUCCUUUCAGCAAAAUCUUGCUAGUAUAUGCUAUUAUAUAAAAAAGGGGGUGGAUCUACAUACUUAGUUAAGAACUUCAAGAAUUACAUACUUUUAGUCAAAUACUAAACACAUAUAAAGUAACAUUUCAUAAAAGACUAAGUGCUACUAAAAUAUGUAUUAGAUUAAAUUUUAUUUCUGACUUUAUGUCACCACAGUCUUUAUACACAGCCAAUUUUAAAAGUAACAUGAAUGAAAAAAUUUUCAGAAAUAUGAUACCUGUUUUAUUUUAAAGACAUUUUUGGAUCUGAUGUAUAAUGUAGAACAACACAAUUGUCAAAUGAAUUAUAUUUUUACAUUAGAUUUAUUCUUAUCAACAAGCAAUAAUUGUAAGUUCAAUAAAAUCUUAAUAGAAUUAACUUGGCUUAGUUUUCUGUUUAAUUCUUACUAAAUAAGAUGAAAAAAUAGAAGAUGAUAUUUUGUCUCAAAUCAUAUCUAAGAACUAAUAAAUCAGACUCUGUCUCAGAGAGAAAGAGACUAAAACUUAAAUACUAGACAAACUCUGAAUUCUAAUGGAAGACAAUUAAUAAGUAUCCUUUUAAGCUUCCUUUAUUUCCUUCCUGCUUCAGCUUUACUACCAUCAUUUUAACAACUUAUUCUAUGCUUCUUUCUAUUUUUUGAACAAAUACUAUAACAUAUAAAAUAUUCCUCUGGAGACUGAUAUGGGAAGAAAUAGAGGUGCUAGGAGAAAAUAGAAAGCUGAAGAAACCUCUCCCUUCACAUUAAUAUUCUUUCUGUAGAUUUUGGAAAGAAAAGAAUUGUGUUAAGUUUUAGCAAGGAAUUGCUAAACAAAAAUCGGUGUGCAAUCCCUAUUUUUAAAUUCCUAUUGAGUUCUUUGAUCUCCUUAGAUGCAAUUUUAGGAAGAGACAUGGACAAUAACACUUGCUAACCCCAUUAUGACCAACUCAAGUGCUUUGCAUGCCAUGCUGCAAUAAGUGUGUAGCUAUGCCAUGUUGUUAUAAUUCAUCCUAUUUUUGGGUGUUCUGUAGUAUAAAACACACCAGAGUAUAAAAAAUAAAUAUGUGAAGACUAAAUUUUGUACAUGGAAAUGGAAUAAAGGAUAGUAUAUAUGAGAUAUAAUAAAGCAUUCUCUUGUUACCACUCUUGAA